rnacentral:rRNA from 1 species
GAUGAACGCUGGCGGCGUGCCUAAUACAUGCAAGUCGAGCGAACAGACGAGGAGCUUGCUCCUCUGACGUUAUCGCCGGUCGGGUGAGUAACACGUGGAUAACCUACCUAUACGACUGGGAUAACUUCGGGAAACCGUAGCUAAUACCGGAUAAUAUAUUGACCCUCAUUGUUCAAUCGUGAAAGUCGGUUUUUCUUUCACUUAUAGCUUGCUACGCCCCGCAUUAGCUAGUUGGUAAGGUAACGGCUUACCGAGGCAACGAUGCGUAGCCGACCUGAGAGGGUGAUCGGCCACACGGGAACUGAGACACGGUCCAGACUCCUACGGGAGGAAGCAGUAGGGAAUCUUCCGCGAUGGGCGAAAGCCUGACGGAGCAACGCCGCGUGAGUGAUGAAGGUGUUCGGAUCGUAAAACUCUGUUAUUAGGGAAGAACAAAUGUGUAAGUAACUAUGCACGUCUUGACGGUACCGAAUCAGAAAGCCACGGCUAACUACGUG